CCCCCCCGAGUGUAAUCGCCCGCCUCUUUGACAUCAUCGCUCCAGCCAGCCUUGGAGGGGACAUCUUGAGCCUCUCCUCUCGAAAGACCACUGCGCUCCAUUUCUCUGACAACUCGCCCCCCUCCCUCCUCUCAUAACCUUUACAGAAUCAGCCCUCGCGGACAAAAGGCUCCACGUUGCGAAGGAGUGACAACAAACCAAGCCUCUCUCUCUCCCCCUCCCCUCGCCAUUGUGCGCUGUGACACGGCCGCACGCGCGACAGAAGAGCGACUAAUCCGCUUUCUGUCCCCACUCCCCAUCAAAGAGUGCAACCACGUGGCUCCUCCGUGUCCUUGAAGAGCGGCGCUCGUGUGAUUAACCCCUUCCACGCGGGGGAGGCACACAGACACAGAGCGCGCUGAUAAGCUGUUAGGAAUUGUGGGAGUUGAAGUCCAAAACACCUGGAGGGAGGGCCCAAGUUUGCCCAUGCCUGAGUGCCCCUCCACAAUGAGUGCACCCUGAGAGACAUGCAAUUGGGUUGCUGUGAGUUUUCCGCGCUGUAUGACCAUGUUCCAGAAGCAUUCUCUCCUGACGUUUCGCCUACAUCGAUGGCAGGCAUCCUCAGAGGUUGUGAGAUCUGUUGGAAACUAGGCGAGGGAGGUGUAAUAUAUCUGUGGAAGGUCCAGGGUGGGAGAAAGAACUCAGGCCACCUUGAUUAGCAUACAGUUUCGAGGCCUGGCUGCUUUUUUUUUUCCGUGUCAGGAGCAACCGGAGUUGCUUCUGGAGUGAGAGAAUAGGCCGUCUGCAAGGACGUUGCCCAGGGGACGCCCGGAUAUUUUUUGAUGUUUUACCAUCCUUGUGGUAGGCUUCUCUCAUGUCCCCGCAUGGAGCUGGAGCUGAUAGAGGGAGCUCAUCCGUGCUCUCCCCGGGUGGGAUUCGAACCUGGCAGCUUUCAGGUCAGCAACCCAACCUUCAAGUCACAAGGCUUUUAUCCCCUAGGCCACCGGAGGCUCCUGCCUGGCUGCUUACUGCCUGGGGGAAUCCUUUGUUGGGAGGGGUUAGCUGGCCCUGAUUGUUUCGUGUCUGGAAACAGGCAGGAAGCAGCCAGGGUUUGAAACUGCAAGGUCAUUCAGUGCUAAUCAAGGUGGCCAAUUGCAACACUCACACUUGCCUCAAACAGACGAAAAGUUCUUUCUCCCAACCUGGACCUUCCACAGAUAUAUAAACUUCCCUUGCUUAGUUUCCAAUACAAGUAUACCUCUGAGGAUGCCUGGCAUAGAUGUGGACAAAACGUUCCGGAACAAGGCCAUACAGCCCGGGAAACUCACAGCAACCCAAUGAUUCCGGCCAUGAAAGCCAUCGACAAGACAUGAAAUUGUAAUUCUACACACACUCCUUGUUAUAUGCCUGUUUCUUCUGUAAACGGGCAUUGAAAUAGAUCUCCCAUCCCCUCCCGAAGCUGUAUUUAUCAGCUGUCAACGGGCGGGGUGUGUGCGUGGCUUUCUCUUCCUCCAGAAAGGCCUGCCUCUGGGCGAGGGACUCCUGGCGGCGCGCCUCCCGCCUCCGCUCCCCAGGAAAAGCGGCGCCCCAGGUGCCUGACUGACUGACUGACUGCCUGGCUGCGCGGCGCUUCUUGGGAAACCGGGAAUUUAAAUAUCAAGGCCACCCACGUGACUCCUCCUGGCGCUGCUUGUAUUGACAAGGCCCUUCUGACGUCACCCGCCGCCGCCGCUCUUCCUCAACCGGACAAGUGGAGUGUUGCGCCGCCCGCCAAGAGGCGGCGCCCAACCCGGCCACUGUAUAGUAGAGUGCGUAUAUCAAUGUGUAGCUCUGGAAGCUUUAUAUGCUGCUCACCAGCCAAGUACCUCAGUGUGCAAGAUAGAGAGGAGAGGAAAAUGAUUGAUGAUGACUUCACCCUCUUGCUGCUAAGGAUGUAAAACACUAGGAAAGCAAACUGGUGACCUGGAAAACAAGCUCAGAUUAAGAAAUGUCAGAUACUGAGUACAGAAGGAAAUGUAAUCUUUGCAAUAGAAGAGCCUCAGAUAACAAAACGGAUAUCGUUUUUGAAAGAAUAAGGUAACAGUAUAAUAGCUUUUUCUAAAAAAGAAGAGAUAAAAAGGGUGUUUUGUCCUGGCUUCUUUUCAAGUUGCUUGCUUUCUGCAGUUUUCCCCAUAGGAGAAAUAGGAGCCAAGUUUGUUCCUUUAUGUAAAAAAGCUUGUGAAUUUAAACUCACUUAAUUGAGUUGUAGGCCAGUUAAUAUAUCUGUAAAAAACAUUGGCUGCAUUAUGAACAGAACUUUAAAAAGAUUCUUUUAAAAAGCCUCACAAAACUGGAUAUGUUAGUUGAGGCAUUCUGGGAAUUACAAAUAAGUAAUUUUCUCAAGUAUUCUUUAGGUCAGUGGUUCUCAACCUGUGGGUCCCCAGAUGCUUUGGCCUUCAACUCCCAGAAAUCCUAACACCGGGUAAAUUGGCUGGGAUUUCUGGGAGUUAUAGGCCAAAACAUAUGGGAAACCGUAGGUUGAGAACUACCGCUUUAAGUGCUAUUUUGGCAAAAUCACAUCUCUGUUUUUACUCCCCCAGUUUGCCGGAAUAAAAAGGGCUACUUGUUCUUAUAGAAACCUGUAUGUGCACUGAUAGACAAAGAAGUUAAAAAACAUAAUGCAAGGUCAAGAAUGUGUUCUCUUUUCCUUGGUAACUUUGCCUGCCCCUUUACUUUAGAUGUUAAACUGUUCGUUCUAAAAACUUAGUUUUCUCUAUACUCUCUGGUGUUUUAAGUUGUUUUAAGACUUUGUUUCAUCAAGUUAUCCCAAUGACCCUUUUUUUGUGUUUUCCGGACUGUUUCUUUGUGUUUGCUUGGACUGGACAUUAAGUCAAUCAUGGAACUAUUUGGAUUUUGCAUGAACACAUUCCUGGACUCGCAUCUCUCAAUGGAUUUGGACUUUAAAGCUACCAACCACAAGAGGAACCUUCUUCAGCUGGUGACAUCAAGAAGGUUCCCCAACCAACAGCAGCCUGGAUCGAAGCUGGGACAGCUUUUUCUUCAAUGAGGGGAGGGUGCAGUUACCUUACAGGCAAUAGCUUUCGUCAUCAACACAGUAUCUGAAUUAGUUGGUCAACAGGAAGAUUCUUGCUGUGAGAUGGAGACACAGCUGGUGUUGUUCCUCCUUUUACCAAAAGCAGCCUGCAGUUCUUUUGUCCGGGUCCAUUCCCUCUUCCAUGCUCUUUCGUUGCCUUAGCUCUUCAACCUUCCAACUCAAUGUCACUUUCAAUCUAAACAAACCUUACGAAUGAAAUAUCCUGUUUCAAUCAUCCAGGAUACAAACAUCCUGUUAUUAAUUGAAGGAACCUUACCUUGAAGGAACUGGGGGUGGUGACGGCCGACAGGGAGCUCUGGCGUGGACUGGUCCAUGAAGAGUCGAAAAUGACUGAAUGAGUGAAACGACAACGUUAUUAAUUGCUUGGUUAAGAGUUUGAAAACUCAGAGCUAUAGAUUACCAGGAUAUGGACCUCUUCAUAUGAGGCUUUUUGUGCUCUUUUUUCUUCUUUUAGACUAGGCCUGCCAAGUAUCAUGAGAUGAUGCUGAUUUGGCUCUGUUUACGUUCCUCCCGAAGUGGAGGGGAAGCGUUCUAUCCUUUUCCCCAUAUGAUGGAGGAAUGGGUGAUAGGGCAAUGCGUGUUGCCACCCUGUCUCCCAUAUGAUGGGGACAGGGGCAGGAUGCCAACACGCCUUGUCCCGUCCUCAUCAUAGGGGAAGGAGGGAGGGUAUGUGGGGCUCUACCAGGCACCCCGUUCACCUUCACUUUCGCUGGUGACUGCUUGGUGAAAUGGCACAGCCCUGGGGUGGGGGGGGGGGGGUUAAGAGGUCCUGAGUCUUCUUAUUGUGGCUGUUGUUACCAUUGUUGUGUGCCUUCAAGUUGUUCCUAACAUACAGUAACCCUAUUUACAUUUAAUUCUGUCUUCUUCUUGCCUUUUACUUUGCCUUUUCUAUUGUCUUUUCUAAUGAGAUAUGUCAUCUCCUGGUAAGUCCGCAGUACAGUAGUCUCCAUUUAGUAAUGUAGGGAGAGUGCAGGUUUGAUUUGAGCCCAUUGUAUUUACAGAACUCUCUUCCAGUAGAGCUUACUCCAGUAUAAAUGGGUAGUGGCAGUCUGCAGUUCUAUACUGACUUAUCUUGGAGUAAGGCCUGACUCAACUAAAUACGACCUCUGGCAUCCAUAAGAUUGCAACAGAAAUGACCAGAAACCUUCCUUUGUAAAUAGGGAUGGGGCAUGCAUUGCUCUCCAGAUGGAUGCUGGACGCCUCUGUCAGAUCUCCUAGCCAAUAUGACCAAUUGUCAGGCAGUGACAAUUCAGCAGUCACUGCUUCCCCAUUUCCGCUUGGUAACAUUAAAUUUAAUGGACUGGGAGGAUCUAGGAGAUGAAGGGCAGUGAAGCCCUUUGAAUUAUAAUUUGCGAUUGAUAGUAUUAAACCUAACAUGAAAAGAAAAAAAGAAUUGGAAUCAUGGCUAGACCAGAUAAUUUAGUACCAAAGAAUAUUGAAAAUGUAUAUAACCACUUGCUGUGAAACAAUGAUCUUCCUAAGGGCAUUUCCCCUUGGUUUUAUAGCAAGUUGUCAGUUCUUUUGAUUCAAACAUGAUGUCAUUUAUAACACUGAAUUUUAAGAUACAUAUAUAUCAAAUCUUCAGGAAAAUAGUCCCUGCUGAUUUAUCACACUUGACCAAGUUGACAGUUUUAGAUAAACCAAUAGCGCAAGAUGAAGAAUUAUGCGGAUCAAGACUAAUACCCUGCCGUUGGGUGGUACCACGCAGCCCAAAAGCUGAGAAAUACCAGCCACUAGUGCUCCUUUCAUUCUCUACAUUCCUUCUGCCUGCCUUACCCACCCUUUUAAAAAAAAUUAGGGUGUUCCCAUUAGUCUUAUUAACAAAAAUGGUACAGAAUUUCUGAGGAAACGAAGAGUAAAAAAUAUAUGAUCAUAUCUAGUUGCAAUUUUAGACAAGGCUUUUACACUACUAUUUUUCUGUGGGUGCUGGUUUUUCAUUCAACCUUCACAAGUUGUUAUAUUCAGCUCCUUUUCAGAUUGUCAUUAAAUUGAUUUUAUGAUACGAGUUCUUUUAAGAAUAAAGCCUGUGGUUUUUCAUCCCUUUUAAAGGAGACAUGAAUUAAAGAGGCUAGCAAAAACACUUUGGAAGAAAAGCUUUUUCUGCUGUUUCAGAGGGCCAUGAUUCUGACUGUCCUCUCCCCACUCCUGUUUCUUUUGGGAAAGGCACAGAGGUAUCAAUAACAAGUCUCAUAUUUGUUUUACAACAAGAUAGAAAAGAGGGUGGGCUGUUUAUAAAUCACAGUUAUCGGGUGCUUGUUUGUUGUUGUGUGCUUUCCAGUCAUUUCUGACUUAAGGCAACCUUAAGGUGUACCUAUCACAGGUAAGAUUUGUUCAGAGAGGAAGCUGCCAUUACUUUCUUCUCAAGCUGAGAGAGUGGGACUUACCCACGCACAGUGGGUCAACCAAGUAUAAAGCUGUAGUUCAAAGCACUGAUUAAUACUGUACAAGGUAAAAUGGGAGGGACAGUUAGAGGGCAGCAGCCCCCAUUCUUGCUUUUAUGGAUAUUUCCUUCUUGGGAAAAGACACCCAAAAAUCUAGUACAAGUGUCCUCAAGCUUUUUAGGCAGGGGGCCAGCUCGCGGUCCCUCAGACUGUAAGUGGAGGAGGGACGGACUAUAGUUUGAAAAAGAAAAUGAAUGAAUUCCUAUGCACACUGCACAUAUCUUAUUUGUAGUGCAAAAAAAUAUAUGAAAGAACAAUACUAUAUUUAAAAUGAAGAACAAUGUUAACCAACAUAAUUUUGCCAGUAUUUUAAUGGGAAGUGUGGAUUUGCUUUUAGCUGAUGAGGUUUUUUUUAUCGUGUCAGAAGUUGCUUCUGGUGUGAGAGAAUUGGCCAACUACAGAGAUGUUGCCCAGGGGACGGCCAGAUGUGUUAGCUGGGAGGCUUCUUUCAUGUCCCCGAUUCGAACCAGCAACCUUCACGUCAGCAACCCAAUCUUCAGGGCCAGCAGUUCAGCCGGCACCAGGGUUUAACCCAUUGAGCCACCGCAGCUGAUGAGAGUGUCAAGUUAAUUAGGACUGUUGUUGUUCUGCACCUUCAAGUCGUUUCAGACUAAGGGCAACCUUAAGUUUAAAGCUUAGGGUGAGGCCCAGGUAAAUGACCUGGAGGGCCUCCAGCCCGCAGGCCUUAGUUUGGGGCCCCCUGAUCUAGUAGGUGAAGGGAGAAAGAGGAGGAAUUUCACCUUACACACACAGCACUACAUCCCAUCUCAUUCCACAGAUGUGAGCAGAACGUGACAGUGCAUGUAUAAGAGAAAAAAUGUGUAGAAAGUAGAAACAUUAACAACCUUCAGUAUGCAGAUGAUACCACUCUGAUGGCUGAAAGUGAGGAGGAGCUGAGGAGCCUUAUCACCAAGGUGAAAGAACAAAGUGCAAAAGCUGGGUUGCAGUUAAGCAUCAAGAAAACCAAGAUCAUGGCAACCACACUGAUUGAUAACUGGAAAAUUAGAGGGAGAAAACGUGGAGGCAAUGACAGACUUUAUAUUUCUAGGCACGAAGAUCACUGCAGAUGCAGACUGCAGCUAGAAAAUCAGAAGAUGUCUACUUCUUGGGAGGAGAGCAAUGACCAACCUCAAUAAAAUAGCGAAGAGCAGGGACAUCACACUGGCAACGAAGGUCCGCAUAAUUAAAGCAAUAGUAUUCCCCAUAAUAACCUAUGGAUGCGAGAGCUGGACCAUAAGGAAGGCUGAGCAAAGGAAGAUUGAACUUUGGUGAUGGAGGAAAAUUCUGAGAGUGCCUUGGACCGCAAGAAGAUCCAACCAGUCCAUCCUCCAGGAAAUAAUGCCCAGCUGCUCGCUUGAGAGAAGGAUAUUAGAGGCAAAAAUGAAGUACUUUGGCCACAAAAUGAGACAGGCAAGCUUGGAGAAGAUAAUGAUGCUGGGGAAAAUGGAAGGAAAAAGGAAGAGGGGCCGACCAAGGGCAAGAUGGAUGGAUGGUAUCCUUGAAGUGACUGGCUUGACCUUGAAGGAGCUGGGGCGGCGAUGGCCAACAGGAAACUCUGGCGUGGACUGGUCUAUGAGGUCACGAAGAGUUGGUAGCGACUGAACGAAUAAACAACAACAACACACUGCCAUAUAAUCCAGUUCAAAGCAGAUAAUCUGGAUUCAGAAACUGGAUUAUAUGGCAGUUUUCUUCUAAAAGUUGGGUUGAAAUGGAUCCAGAAAACAUUUCAGUGUAAAAGUGAAAGCAUUGGUAAUUGUCAUCUCCAUCAAGUAUCUAAUUCCACUAGAUGAUCAACUAUCUACAAGCAAAAAAGCCUAUGGGAUGAAAGAAUUAUCUGUAGUGAUAAUGCUUGUGGCAACAGUUGUUGGAGGGUGGAACAGUGGCUAUGCCUUCAGACCCCUUCAGGCAUUCCCUUCUCUUAACUUCUGAGUGUAAAAAAAUAAAAAUAAAGUAGAUAUAUAGUUUAAAAAUUAACCAUAGUCACCAAAACACAACUGCUGUCACCUUAUGGACCACAAAGCAGGCCACAAUGGUGCUAAAACAAAACAAAAAAAAACACAACUUAGUAGUUGCUUCUGUGAACUUCUCUGUCUUAAUUGUUAGCCCCAGACAUAGAGUUGCCAUUUUUAAUACUAGAAAUUGCCCAAGAUGCUGUUCAUACUUUCUCUUUUCUUAAGCCAUUGUGUCCCUGUAAUAGAAGCAAGGUGUUAUUGGUUUCCAUAAUUAAAUCAUAUAGGCUAAUUGUUGAAUUACUUAAGACAGUUAAAUCUUUUAAUCCAUCCUAAGGAAAUGCAACUCACUCCCUUCAGGUGAACUGCCACUGAAUGACAUGAGGAGAAGAAAUAUACACUUCUGCAGAUAAUGAAAAGUGACUCUUUAAUUUUCACUUUAACCUCAACCACCCAGACACACUAUUUGUGGAGCUUCAUCAGCACUUUUGUGAGCAAUAGUCACCCAAAUAACAUUUCACUAUUAUAAGCUUUUUCCCUCUGUCCCCAAGGCAUGAUACCUUCAUUUUCUGCCCUUUUUCUCAAUAAAAUUGAUGUUUAAUAAAUCCCCAGUUUUCCCAGUGAGACUUGUAAGAUGUCAAUGUGCCUUUUCUUGCCCCCAUGUAAUUUCCCUUUGUUUCCUGUGUUUGCAUUCUUCGCAGUCCUCUCUUGUUUCGCCCACAGUAUCUGCUUUCAAAGUAUUCUUUUGAACUUCUGUGCAAAAGUAGGAACAUUCCACUAUUUCAUUCCCACUAUGAAAAUAAUAUUUUAGGCAUUUUCCCUGAUUCCAUGAGAAUGAAGAUUUCCACAGAAUUUUCAAGCACUCUUUGUACAUCAGUUAUGAUUCCAUAACCUUGAGCCACGGCAGUCAAAAUGAUGACAGACUUCAUUAAUUCUACAAUGUAGAUGUAUCUAGAUCAAAAAGUGGUGUCAAACUGCACUAUUUCCAGUGUAGAUGCACCUCUGGAAACUAUUAAAAUACACCAAUCUAGUCACAAAUGUGUCCACAUACUAUUUCUACACCCACCCAGCCCAGCCACCCUGCUAUUAAAAACAGUGACACAACAAAGCUGGACUGAAAGUCAGCCAAAGCGACAUUUGAAAGUGACAUUACAUGACAAUGCAAUCCAAUGAAGCCAUGUGUGGAUUUUUUUUUUGGAAUUUGGGGGCUGGUUAUUUUUGUCUUCUUUUCAGCUUCUCACAGCAUUGAAUAUUUUCUGAUAUCUGUUGUAAACUGCCCUGAGUCCCCUCAAGGAGAUAGGACGGGAUAUAAAUACAUAAAUCAAUCAAUCAAUAAAUAAAUAGGAAAUAUUAUGUUGCAACACACUAGAAAACAUCUGGGGACCCAAUGGCCUUUGUCUACUCCUCAGUUGCCCACCUGUUUUAGAUAAUAAUUGGAAUAAUUUCAAUGCUAAAGUUUAUCCAUUUUACUAUAUAACAUGCAGAAGUUAUUGUUUAUUUGAACUGUUUUUUAACCACAAAAUAUGGAGUACAAUUUUAUGGGAUGAUGUUACCAUCCUCCUACAGCAAUCUUUAUGGGUUCUGACAGAUUAAUGAUGUUGACAGAAAAUGUUAUCAAAUCCAGCUUGUAAAAGGGCCUGCUGAAGAUGUAGGAUUAUUGAUCAGUUGUUUCCUAUAAAAUUGUUACCCACAGGCUACAAAAUGAGAAAGUUCUGCCAUAGCAUAAAUUAUACAUUGGUGGUUUUGAUGCCAUUACCUAUGUAAUUUUUUUUGUGUCAGGACCAAAUUGAGAAACUGCAAGUCGUUUCUGGUGUGAGAGAAUUGGCCAUCUGCAAGGACGUUGCUCAGGGGACGUCCUGAUGUUUUGAUGUUUGUAAUAUAAAAUCAUAUGGAUUUCCUCAACAAAUAACCAAAUAAUAAAAGACUGCAUUUUCAAAUGCUCAGAAUUGUAUUUUCAGAGAGAUAUAUACAAUGCUUUGUGAUAAAUGUGAUGUGCUAUAACAAACUAGAAUAUGAAAAAGCCAUUUUAUAUUUCCUUUUAGUGGCUGAAAUAGCAAUGUGCAUUUGCUGCAAAGUUUGUUGUGUCCAACCUGUUACCCUGUUCAGAUAUGCAGCACCGUCUGACAGUUUUCACUUCAAGUUAUAAAUUUCCCUCUUCUUUUUCUGUAUCUUGCCUAUGUGAAUUGCUAUCCACUGGCUUUGGUGGUGGCUGUUGUCAAAGUCAUUUCAAGUCCAAACAACAUAAAAUCCAUCACAGCAUUCUUUCCAACAUCUCUUGUUAUGUGUUUUGACUAACUCAGAGUCCUAAUGUAUAUACUCAUAUAUUGUUAUGAUUGAGCCUCAUGGCUCUGUUACUGACAGACGUGGGCGUAAGACUCCUCGAGAGUCAGAUACUCUCGAGGAGCGAGAAAGAAAAAGACUGCGAGACAUUUUUGCAGCACCAUCUGACGAAGAGUCUUUUGAGGGGUUUACGGAGAGAAUGGAGGAGGGGCUGGUUAGCUCGGAGGAGGAUGAGAUGGAUUGGACUCGGGUGAGGGAGGAAUUGGGUGCCACUGGCCAUGAUGGGAUAGAAGAUGAAUGGGGACCUUCAGGAUUAGACCCAUGGUCUAGCUGGAGGGAUGGGACGGGAUCCACAGCUGGAGAUGCUGUGGGGCGUAGUCAGAGGUGUUCCAGCUCUGAUGAGGAAAGUGAUGAGGAAACGCCCGGGUUAAGGAGGACAGCUGACAGUGAUGAGGAUUUGUAACUGGCAUAAAAUGGGGCUUGGGAGCAAUUGCAAAUUGCGUUGGGCAAGGUAAUCUGGACGAACGCUUGGGAUCUGUGUGGGACGCUUUCCUGAAGACUGGUGUGUUUUCGUGUGCUGAUACGUAAGUUGUUUUGGAAUUCAGGGUCAGACGGCGGGAGGAAUUGUGUGGGCAUUUGUUUGUGCAAACCUGUGCUUACUCUUAUUAGCUUGACCUUCCGUCGUCUUCUUGACGGACGCCAUCUCCUGCUUUGAAAUUCGGACUGAACUGACCACGGCUUGACUUCCCCCUUCUUGGACUUGGAAACUACAAACGUCUGCUUCUGGCUUUGAUCUACGGAAAGGAACUGGGUCUACUCUACUGCUACAAUCCUUGGCUGAUCUGUUCGUGUUGGAAAUCCUGUCUGCUGUGUGUGUGGGAGCGACGCAAGUUACUCUAAGCACAGUGUUGGCAGCAGAGAGGAAUCUGCUGCCAAUUAGUUGCAUUCUUUUGUAUCUUUUGUUCCUUGGCUUUUGUUUUGUUUAUCCCCAGGCUGAAGCAAGCAGUUUGUUUUUACCCAGAUUAAACUCCGGUUUAAUCCGGUUUAUCUUUUGAACGUUUUUCCUUGUCCCUUUUUGCUCCUAAAGGCUAAUACUGCCUGGCCCUUGUAUUUUACGGGCAUUUUUGAGUUCUGUAAUCCAAUAAACUCUGUUAACUUUGAUCUUGUGGCGUUCUGUCCUUGACAGAUUGCCCAACGCCAUAAAAAGUUUAUUGCAGUAAUAAACCCGUCAGGAAGACGAUGGAGGAGUUAAGGGCCAAAUUUGAGCAAUUACAAACGGCUUUUACCGUCAGUCAAGCAGCUCAUGCUGUGAAAGGACAUGUUUUGACUCCUGAACGCUUUGACGGAACCAGGUGCAAGUUGCCAACCUUUUUGGCACAAGUGGAGCUUUAUUUUUCCCAGCUCAGUGCUCAUGCUUUUCCUACAGACGCUAGCAAGGUGGCAUUUAUUUUGAGUUUGUUGACCGGUCCCGCAGGACAAUGGGCCACUAAUUUAAUUUUGGGAAAUGACCCAGUCAAGGACAAUUUGAAUAAUUUCAAAAAGUUAUUAACUGACACUUUUGGGGAUCCUCUCCGCACGGAGAAUGCUGGGUGGGCUCUGUAUCGGUUGAAACAGGGAAAGGGGACUGUUUUGGAUUACUUAAAUAAGUUUAACCUGUAUCGCCACCAGCUGGAUUGGGGGGAAAAUGCAUUCAUGCUUUUAUUUACUGCUGGGUUAAGUGAUAUGCUCCAGGAUGAAUUAGCACGCUUGGAGCCGGCUGAAAAUUGGGACGCCUUAGUAGCUAAGGUGCUGCGUUUAGACGCAAGGUUCGAGGCUCGUAAACACUCGAAAGCAAUGUGUGCGCCACCCAUGCAUGUUACCAGGGCACCUGUGGUGAUGGGGGAAGAGCCUAUGGAGCUUGGGGUCUUUAAAAAGCUGUCUACAGAGGAAAAGAGCCGUAGGAGGCAGCUGGGGUUGUGUUUGUACUGUGGGAAUGCUGGGCAUUUUGCCAAAAACUGUAAUGUGAAACCUUCUCAGCUUUCGGGAAAAGGCCAGCCCUAGUGCGACGUGAGUCCAACGCACUAGGGCUCCUCAAGCAGUCAACUGAGGGGAGGAAGCAUGUUUUCGUACCCAUUACAUUAUCUGUUGGGGGAAGGGAACUUGUUUCUACUUUGGCACUGCUGGACUCAGGGGCUACGGUCUCUUAUGUAGAUAUUGAGUUUGCUAAGAAGCAUGGCAUUCCUAGAGUGCGCAAGGCAUGCGACGUGUGGGUGGAAGGAGCAGAUGGGAGACUGCUGGAGACUGGGGUGGUUAACCAUGAAACCUCAGCAGUAAUGUGGGAAGUGCAGGGAGUAACGGGAACGUUUGUGUGGGAUAUUACGAGCUUGCCUAGAUAUGAUGUGAUUCUGGGGAUGGAUUGGCUAGCUGUAGUAAACCCACAAGUAGAUUGGGCGACACGUAAAUUGACCUUAAAGAGGCAGGAUUGUUGCACUCUGAAUGUUACUCAAUCUGAUAUGGAGGGAGUGCCUGCUGAGUAUGGGGAGUUCUCUGAUGUAUUUUGUAAAAGAGAAGCGGACAAAUUACCACCGCACAGGCCAUAUGAUUGCGCCAUUAAGCUAGCAGAAGGUGCGAAAUUGCCAGCAGGAAGGCUGUAUGCCUUGACUGUACCGGAAAGGCAAGCUUUGCGGGAGUUUCUAGAUGAAAAUUUAGCCAAGGGGUUUAUUCGCCCAUCUAGCUCUCCAACUGCGGCACCAGUAUUCUUUGUAGCCAAAAAGACUGGGGAACUUAGGCUGGUCUGCGACUAUCGGAUCCUAAACAAAUACACCAUUCGGGAUAGGUACCCGCUACCUUUAAUCUCGGAACUGUUAUCAAGGGUGCAAGGGGCUAAGGUCUUUACCAAGCUUGACCUGCGGGGGGCAUAUAACUUAAUCCGUAUACGGGAAGGUGAUGAAUGGAAGACGGCAUUUAACACGUGUUUCGGAUGCCACGAGUUCCGAGUCAUGCCUUUCGGACUUUGCAAUGCUCCUGCGGUCUUCCAGAGGUUCAUGAAUGAUGUGUUCAGGGACCUAAUUGACCAAUUUUUAGUGAUUUAUUUGGAUGAUAUCUUGAUUUUUUCUAAGGACGAGAAAGAACAUCGUCAACAUGUCAAGCAGGUUCUGCACCGUCUGCGGGCUAAUGGGCUUUUCGUCAAGGCUUCCAAGUGCGUCUUUCAUGUGCCUGAAGUGGAGUUCCUAGGUCAUGUAGUGUCAGGUAGGGAACUUAAAAUGGACCCACAUAAGGUUGACGCCGUCAACUCAUGGCAGGAGCUUAAGACUAAGAAGGAUGUACAACGGUUCUUAGGUUUCGCUAAUUACUACCGGGAGUUUAUUCUGAAUUUUGCAAAGCUCACGGUACCUUUGACGCAGCUCCUGCGUAAGAAACAGCCAUUUGUGUGGGGGCGGGAAGCUCACGAUGCGUUUUUACAACUUAAGUCUAGUUUUCAAUCGGACAACAUACUAACACAUCCUGAUGUUGACAAACCGUUCGUGGUAGAAGCGGACGCUUCUAGCUACGCGUUGGGGGCUGUAUUGUCUCAGAAGGAUUCCUCGGGGACCUUGCGUCCCUGUGGAUUUUACUCACGGCAACUAACACCCUUCGAGCAGAACUAUACCAUAUGGGAGAAGGAGUUGUUGGCGAUUAAGGUGGCGUUUGAGGUGUGGCGGCACUGGCUUGAAGGGGCACGGCACCAGAUCGUGGUCAGAUCUGAUCACAAGAAUUUAGAGCACUUGCAAACAGCAAAAAAGUUAAACCAGCGUCAAAUCCGAUGGGCUUUGUUUUUCUCCAGGUUUAACUUCAAGGUGCAGUUCGUGGAGGGGAAGGCAAACUUGCGGGCCGAUGCUUUAUCCCGCAAGCCGGAGUUUAAGACCAAUGAGCAGGUAGUAUGUCAGACCAUCUUGCCUACUGCCUCUCUAUGUGUUGUAGAUAAUGAGCUCGGGUUACAUGACCAGAUCCUUGAGGCUCAGAGGGAUGAUGUGUGGACUCAGGAGCAACUGAUGCUGCUAUCAGCAGGUAACCGUACAAUACUGCCGCAUCUACAAGAUCAAGACGGAGUAUUGGUACGCAGGGGGCAGGUCUACGUACCAGUGGGGGCCCUCAGGUUGGAGGUGAUUAGAGCUCACCAUGACGAACCCAUGGCUGGGCACUUUGGCAGGUUCAAGACCGUACAGCUUAUCACCAGGAGCUACUGGUGGCCAAAGAUGCGGCAAGACAUUCUGCGCUUUUGUAACAGCUGCGCUGUUUGCCAGCAGAGUAAGACGCCUGUUGGGCGCCCUAGAGGGUUGUUGUCGUCUCUACCUGUUCCUGAGAGGCCAUGGCAAAUCAUUUCCAUGGAUUUUAUUUCGGAUUUGCCUAAGUCUGGGGGGUAUACUUGUAUUUGGGUGGUGGUGGAUUUAUUUAGCAAACUGGCUCAUUUUAUUCCUUGUUCAACCAUUCCGGCGGCCCCUACGUUGGCCUUACUAUUUACUAAGCACAUCUAUCGUUUGCACGGAGCACCCGAAGUGAUUAUUUCGGAUAGGGCUCCGCAAUUUGUGUCACGCUUUUGGAAACACUUCCAUGAGUGCUUAGGGACUAAGUUAAACGUUUCUUCAGCCUUUCAUCCGCAAACGGAUGGACAGUCGGAACGGGUUAAUGGGCUCUUAGAGCAGUAUUUGCGUUGUUUUUGUUUAGAUCAACCCACGGCUUGGGUGAAGUGGUUACCGGUGGCGGAGUUUGCUUACAACAAUGCGGUGCACACGUCUAGUCAGCAUACGCCAUUUGAGCUAACUUAUGGUUUUCACCCACGGGGAGGUGUGGCGCCGUCGACCAAUGUGGUCUCUUCGGACCCUGUGUACCGCUCUUCGGAAAUGGCUGCAUUGCAUGAUGUUGCCCGUCGCUUACUGUUGGAAGCUAAGGCAACGCAAAAGACUCAGGCUGACCGCCACAGGCAGGCAGGGGAGGAGUUGGAAGAAGGGGAUUUGGUGUGGUUAUCUUCCAAACAUAUUAAACAGGCUGGGGGAAAGUUUGCGCCUCGGUAUUUGGGUCCCUUUCCUAUCGUUAAAAAGAUUUCUUCCGUUGCGUUUCGUUUGCGUUUACCGUCUAGUUUAAAGGUCCAUCCAGUCUUCCAUCGUUCGCUGUUGAAACUAGAUACCUCCAGUCGUCGUGGUGCUAUAGCGGAGCGUAUCACUGCCACUUCUCCGCCAUCGGGGGAGGAGGCCUUUGUGAGAGGGGAUAGUGUUAUGAUUGAGCCUCAUGGCUCUGUUACUGACAGACGUGGGCGUAAGACUCCUCGAGAGUCAGAUACUCUCGAGGAGCGAGAAAGAAAAAGACUGCGAGACAUUUUUGCAGCACCAUCUGACGAAGAGUCUUUUGAGGGGUUUACGGAGAGAAUGGAGGAGGGGCUGGUUAGCUCGGAGGAGGAUGAGAUGGAUUGGACUCGGGUGAGGGAGGAAUUGGGUGCCACUGGCCAUGAUGGGAUAGAAGAUGAAUGGGGACCUUCAGGAUUAGACCCAUGGUCUAGCUGGAGGGAUGGGACGGGAUCCACAGCUGGAGAUGCUGUGGGGCGUAGUCAGAGGUGUUCCAGCUCUGAUGAGGAAAGUGAUGAGGAAACGCCCGGGUUAAGGAGGACAGCUGACAGUGAUGAGGAUUUGUAACUGGCAUAAAAUGGGACUUGGGAGCAAUUGCAAAUUGCGUUGGGCAAGGUAAUCUGGACGAACGCUUGGGAUCUGUGUGGGACGCUUUCCUGAAGACUGGUGUGUUUUCGUGUGCUGAUACGUAAGUUGUUUUGGAAUUCAGGGUCAGACGGCGGGAGGAAUUGUGUGGGCAUUUGUUUGUGCAAACCUGUGCUUACUCUUAUUAGCUUGACCUUCCGUCGUCUUCUUGACGGACGCCAUCUCCUGCUUUGAAAUUCGGACUGAACUGACCACGGCUUGACUUCCCCCUUCUUGGACUUGGAAACUACAAACGUCUGCUUCUGGCUUUGAUCUACGGAAAGGAACUGGGUCUACUCUACUGCUACAAUCCUUGGCUGAUCUGUUCGUGUUGGAAAUCCUGUCUGCUGUGUGUGUGGGAGCGACGCAAGUUACUCUAAGCACAGUGUUGGCAGCAGAGAGGAAUCUGCUGCCAAUUAGUUGCAUUCUUUUGUAUCUUUUGUUCCUCGGCUUUUGUUUUGUUUAUCCCCAGGCUGAAGCAAGCAGUUUGUUUUUACCCGGAUUAAACUCCGGUUUAAUCCGGUUUAUCUUUUGAACGUUUUUCCUUGUCCCUUUUUGCUCCUAAAGGCUAAUACUGCCUGGCCCUUGUAUUUUACGGGCAUUUUUGAGUUCUGUAAUCCAAUAAACUCUGUUAACUUUGAUCUUGUGGCGUUCUGUCCUUGACAUAUAUACUCAUAUUUAUUUAUUUAUUUGCAACAUUUAUAUACCUAUAAGUCAAGGGCAGGUUUGAGGACCAAAGUUAUGGAUUUUGAUAUGAUCUAUGGAUAAGUUGAGGGUCAUUCUGUGGAGAGUAGAAAGCACCAAGGCUGUCCCAGCCUGGUGCCAAUGCCACUAUUUCUCCAUCCAGGCAUUCAAAAAGGACAGAAGGGGGAUCACUAUAGAGAGGACUGAAGGGGUUGUUGCUUUUUUAAGGUUUUCAUGGGAUAGUCUCUUGUUCUUUGCCACACUAUUCAGAGAAAAGGGUAGUUCCUCUUUUUAGUAAGAUUUAAGAUACAGUAAUCACACUGACCCAGGGGUCCCCAAACUAAGGCCCGGGGGCCGGAUGCGGCCCUCCAAGGUCAUUUAUCUGGCCCCCACCCUCAGUUUUAUAAUAUAAUAUUUUAUAUCAUUUUAAUAAUAUUAUAUAUUGUAUAUACAUAUAAUAUUGAUAAUAAUACCAUAUAAUAAUAUUAAUUAUAUGUUAUAUAUUACAUAUAAUAUUACAGUAUAGUGGUAUAGUUCAAUAUAGUAAUAUAUAAUGUUAAUAUUGUGCUAUGCUAAUAAUAUAAUAUAUUGUGUGUACAUACAGCUGCUCUGAGUCUCCUUCAAGGUGAGAAGGGCAGGAUAUAAAUGUAAUAAAUAAAUGUAGUAAAUGAAUAAAUAAAUAAUUUUAGACUUAGGCUCGCCCAAAGUCUGAAAUGACUUGAAGGCACACAACAACAACAAUAAUCCUAAUUCACUUGACUAUCUCAUUGGCCAGAAGCAGGCCCACACUUCCCAUUGAAAUCCUGAUAGGUUUAUGCUGGUUACAAUUGUUUUCAUUUUUAAAUAUAGUAUUGUUCUUUCAUUGUUGUUGUUUUGCACUACAAAUAAGACAUGUGCAGUGUGCAUAAGGAUUUUUUUUUUCUUUCUCCAAAUGAUAAUUCGGCCCCUCCACAGUCUGAAGGAUUGUGGACCGGCCCUCUGCUUUAAAAGUUUGAGGACCCCUGCACUGACCCAUGGAUAACCUAACGUAGGUUUUUGGGUUGAUUUUUGAUUAAAAGUUACGGACAUGAGCGUAUAGAAUAGAUGGGAUGCCAAUGAGAGGAUCCUAACAUAAGAUCAGCUACUUUCCUGGUACAUAUCUGAAGACAGAGAAAUACUGCUUGCUUCAGGAUUUCUUUGUUUUUUAUUAUGCCAUAUUUACAAAAUCCAUGGGGUUACCAUGCAUUGAGGGGUAACUUGAAGAUUCAUUCAUUCAUUCAAUCACACACACACACACACACACACACACACACACACACACACACACACACACACACAGAGUAUGCCAUUGCCCUACCUCAUUCUUAGUUCCAGUUUAAUAGAUUUGUUUUUGCUGGAUUAUUUGACUACAUUGACGUUACUAUUUGAACCUUCAAGGGUUAAGCUAACACCCCAUGUUAGAUGGGGCUAUUUAUUGUGACAUUGCUAUAUAAUUUGACUCUAGUAUAUGGUAUGUCAGGAGACGGGACUGAGGUCACUACAUCACUUUUCUUUAUUGUCCAGAAACAACACCCCCUUUGUCUUUAGACCAAUAAUGUGAAACUAGGGUCUUAUCUUUGUACAUUCAGCAAAGAGAUAUUGAAAGUAUCCAAGUCUGUUGCUUUUCUGUACUGGUCCGUUGUUUUAUAGCUUGGCCAAGGUCUCAUCACUACCGUAGCCUUUUAUGUGUCUUUCCCAUCAUUCCAGAAUCCAUAAAUUAAAGCUCAGACAAUAUAUCUGGCAAUUUUCCCAACAAGAGAAACUUAUGCUGCUUAUGAACAAAAUCAAAGAGAUUUUUCAUUUCAUACCCUGUUUCCCCUAAAAUAAGACAUCCCCGAAAAAUAAGACCUAGUAGAAGUUUUGCUGAAUUGCUAAAUAUAAGGCCUCCCCCGAAAGUAAGACCUAGCAAAGUUUUUGUUUGGAAGCAUGCCUGCUGAACAGAACACAAGAGCAUGCAGGAUUGGUAAAUAUACGUACAAUAGAUUGUUGUACUUGGAAAUAGUGGUAGUAACAAGAAAUUCUUGAUAGGAUUCACAGUUUGUCUGGUUAUGCUGGUUUGUGGUGACAACUACUGUACAGUGUAUAAUAAAUGUUCAGUUUUUGUUCAACAAUAAAUGUGAUUUCUUCUCCAUGGAAAAAUAAGACAUCCCCUGAAAAUAAGACCUAGCACAUCUUUGGGAGCAAAAAUUAAUAUAAGACACUGUCUUAUUUUCGGGGAAACACGGCAGGUCAGUCAGGUUUGUGGUUCUUCUUACACAGACAAUGCAAGUGUUUCCCUAUUUUGUUCUCGCAUGCUGGCUUAUUUUCUUCUUGCAUGUAUAUUUAUAUUAUACAAAUAUGCCAAAAUGUGAAUGUUUAAACAUGAGGGAAAGUGAUUUAUAGUGGAACAUGAUCUCUCAAGUGUUUUUCAAUAAAGUUUUGUAGACUUUGAAACAAAACAAAAUGAAAGAAAGCAAAUCUUUUGCAAGCCUGCUUACUGGAAGUCAAAAAUGUUUAUAUACUGCACUUAGAAUUGCAAUCCCUCUUCAGCACUAUCUGACAAAAAGAAAUUGUCUGCUGCCAGGGGCAGAUUAACCUUAAGGAAUUAUUCAUGCUCAAGUAUUAUCCUAUAUUUUUUCACUUGGCAUUUCAGACACAUGUAGAUUUUUUUAAAGUCCCUUUAAGAUCAGCAUUGGUCAUAUUGCUCUUGAGAUGGCGUGGAUAUCCCCAAGGUUUUGUGAUAUAUGUCCAAGUUUCUAAACACAAUUUUUAUGAAUUUGAGGUCUAAUUCUGUCAAUUGCUACAAGAUACACCAUGCUAUACUUAAUUGCAUUAGAUUAAAUAAGAACACCUUUGAACUUGGGGUGCAUCUACAAUGUAGAAUUAGUGCAGUGUGACAUCACUUUAACUGUGCCAUGGAAUCAUGAGAGUUGUAGUUUGGUGAGGUACCAGCACUCUUUGGCACAGACGGCCAAAGACCCUGCAAAACUACAAUUGCCAUGGUCCCAUAUGGUAACACUGAGUCAUGAUAGUUAAAUGAUGUAAAACUGCAUUAAUUCUACAGUGUAGGCCCAUCCUAGGUUUUACAAAAUUUUCAGAGGUCUUCCCUUACAAUUUGUCUGUAAAGAUACACAGCAAUUACAGCAUGAUACAGUAGUAGCUAUGGCAACAUCUCUUCCGAAUAGCCAAUCAAAUUAGGCACACAAAAGCAUAGCCAUGUGCACAUAAUAAUUGUUGCAUACUCUCUCAAAGGAUUUAAUUCCUUGUAUUGAAUUAAUGGUCCAACUGCGUAAGCAGGCAAAGAAAUGAUUGAAAUCCAACGUUGUUGUUCACACCAAGACAGUCAUCUAACUUGCUACAGACACUCACUAGGAAAAAAAUGGCCAUCAUUUCCUGCCCUUAUUUAUUAUUUAUCUUUUACCAUCAACAUCCACCCUCCAGGGCAUAGCUAUAACAAAUGCAGCUUUAGUAAAGCUGAAAACUGUAGGAAAUCUUUUUUUAAAACAACAACCCUUUACUGUAUAGCCUUCACAUAUUUCACAUUUAUAUGAAUGUGGUAUAACAAUAAGCACUGGUCUAAACAUGACAACAUGCUACACAGCAAAUUAAAAAGUCCACUGAUCAUGUAGAUCCUUAAGACAUUAGGCUACAUAUUCUAUUGACCUGUAUUGCUUAACUCCUUUUUCCUUCUUACACACUGUUAAACCCUUGUGCUGGUAGACUGCUGACAUGAAGGUUGCCCGUUCGAAUCCAACCCGGGGAGAGCAUGGAUGAGCUCCCUCUGUCAGCUUCAGCUCCAUGCGAGGACAUGUGAGAAGCCUCCCACAAGGAUGGUAAAAACAUCAAACAUCCAGGUAUCCCCUGGGCAAUGUCCUUGCAGAUGGCCAAUACUCUCACACCAGAAGCAACUUGCAGUUUCUCAAAUUGCUCCUGACACAAACAAAAAGUGGAGGUGGGGGCAAAUUGUUUCUAAAGUGUUUCUAAAAUAUCGUAAGAGCGUUGCAUUGUUACUAUAAGGAUAUAAUGAAAUUUUCGUUACUUUUUCAUUAUGUAAUUGCGCAAGUGGGGAAGCUUUCGGGGCUCCUUUCUCCCUCAUUUUUAGAACUAUCAGGAUGAAACUUGCUAUAAUGGUAGAACACAUUUACCACUGUUACCUCCCCCCCCCUCCUAGUUUCAGAAUGUUUCACACUGCCACUGAUUUUUGGGGAUUUUAAAAAGUUUUUGUGAUCAACAUUAACAAUACCUACAAGAGCUAUCUCCUUGAAUUUCUAUGUUCAAUGAUACAGCAUAAACAGGGCAUCAUUCCCCUCAAGUUUCAGAAAGAUUUGCACAUCCACUGAUUUUUAGCUAAUUUUAACCAACUUAACUUCACAGUACUAUUUCACUGGAAGACCCUUGGGGCCACCCAGUCCAACCCCCUUCUGCCAGGCCGGAAAAGCACAAAGCACCUCCAACAGAUGCCUGUCCAGCCUUUGAAACAAUAAUAAUAAUAAUAAUAAUAAUAAUAAUAAUAAUAAUAAUAAUAAUAAUAAUAAUAGGAAAUUUACUAGGUAAACUUGGGUAGUUACUGCCUCUCAACUUUGCCCACCUGAAAGGGUUUAUUUGAUUCCCAACAAUCCUCCUUUAUCUCAAAAUCCCUUAGGAGAAUGAACCCCAGAAAUUUCAGAGAGAAAUUCUGUGAAAUGUAGUUUCAGAAGGUGAGUCCCUCUAUGAUAGAGAAUUCAAAAGGCCCCACCCUAAACUACAUUUCCCAGAAUUUUCAUUUCAGAAUACUGGAGCUGCCCACGUUAAAACCUCAAUAUGAGUGUGGUCUCUGCCUGUCUCUCUCUGGGUUGGUCAUGUGCUUGCUUGGCCAUCCAGCCAGGCCUCUCUCUUUCCCUCCCUCCCUCCUGCCUGCCCCAGACCCCCUUGCCACCCCCUUUAGGGAAAGAGUGGGGCUUCUCCCUUGACUCCAGGCUUCACUAUCCUCCUUGGUGCUUUUUGGGGGACCCAAACCCAGCCCUUUUGGGGGAGAAGCAGUGCCCGCAAGAGAGACUUGGAACCACUUACGAGACUUACAUAACUCUUCUGAAAAGUCAUAGGUGAGUAUUUUGAAUCUUACAUUUUGUUCAUGGGCGCCCCUUGCAUUUCUUAAUAUUGCAUCAUAUGUAUGAAUCUUAUGAAAUAGAUACGAGAAAUGGCGCACAAAGUUUUGCACAACCCUACUGAUUAGUAAGUAAAUGUGUAUAUAUGUGUGCUUUCAAUUUGCCUUUCAAUUUAUGGCGAUUCCAUGAACUUCAUAAGGUUUUCUCCGGCAAGGAAUAUUCAGAGAUGGUUUGGCCAAUUCUUUCAUCGGAAAUACAGCCAAUAGCACGGUAACUGUCAAGAUCAGGUGGGAUCUGGUGCCUUUAAGGUGUUUUGGUCUCUAGUAAUUAAGUAUCUCUUAUAUGGUACUUUGAGCCCCAGGUGGCACAGUGGGUUAAACCACUGAGCUGCUGAACUUGCUGACUGAAAGGUCACUGUUUCAAAACCGGGGAGCUUCUGCUGUUAGCCCCAGCUUCUGCCAACCUAGCAGUUCGAAAACAUGCAAAUCUGAGUAGAUCAAUUACUGGUGGAAAGAUAAUGGUGCUCCAUGCAGUCAUGCUGGCCACAUGACCUUGGAGGUGCCUACAGACAACGCUGGCUCUUCGGCCUAGAAAUGGAGAUGAGCAUCAACCCCCAGAGUCAGACACGACUAGACUUAAUGUCAGGGGAAAUCCUUUACCUUUACCUUAUAUGGUACUUAUUUAAUGGACAUGAAGAAAAUGGGUACUUGGAUGUUCAUUUGUGCUGCUGGAUGUAAACGUGAUUGCAGGAUGGACACUUGUUCGUGUAGAAUACAAACUUUUCUAGCCAUUCCUCCAUGUCCUCUUCACUACUGAGUAUCACAAAAUUGUCACAAUUCUUCAUAAUUAGUCCACUGAUGCUCAGGCUUAUCUGGAUUGGAGAUCCUGCCAUGUUCAGCGAAUUAAAGGAAAUAUUACCUACAGCUUGGCUCUAAGAAUCAAACAUAUCUGUUACACUGAAGAAAAUCUGUGAAAGGACCAACAAACUCAAGCAAGAUCUGCUACAAAGGGACUAUCCUUUUCACAAAAUUCAGCCAGCUCUUCUGCCUGGUUUCCUGAUACUAGAGCAAAGUUUCCCGCAAUUUUUGGGUCUGUGUACACUGUAGAAUUAAAACUGUUUGAUGCCACUUUAACUCCUACCACUCAAUGAAGCAAAAUCAUGUGAGUUGUACCUUUAUCAGGCCCUCUGUUAAAGAGGACGGGUGCUUCACUAAAUUACGAAUCCUAGGAGCUGCGGGAGUUAAAAUGUUAUCAAAAUGCAUUAACCCUACGGUGUAGAUUUUUGCAUUCUAAUUAUCUAUAAUUAACAAUAACACCUGCUUUGGUGCAUGGUCAAUUUUUACCUGAAUUUCAGCACAAAAUCUUUAAAGUGCUUCUUUUUCUUCUGCCUCUGUAGUUGCAGCAUAAACUUGGAUUAUGGUUGUAUUGAUGUGUUUUCUCUGAAGUCGUAUUGAUAUUAUUUAGUCAGACUUUGUGUUAUAUCUUUGACUGUUUUCACUUAAUCUCUCACUAGUAAUCCUUCCAUUGAUGGAUGUAAUCUUAAAAAUACAGUACUCUUUCAGGUGUGAUUGUUUUUUUUAAUAUAAAAUAAGUAUAUGCUAUUAUCUUUACAUUAUUACAAAUAUUCCAUUUUAAUUUGCAUGUAAAGCUUUGGAUGUAUUAGAAUAGUGUAUUUAAAUAAAAUGUGCUAAAUCAGAUAAUAUUAUUUAAAGAACUGGCAAAUGUUUGGAAAAUGCACAUCACUGUUAGCAACUCUAUUGUAUCAUCCUCCUUAGUAACUUAAUCUAAUGCAAAGCUUUCAGUUCCUUUAAAAAUUUAUUGUUAAUUAUUUCUGUACUGCAGGCCCUAGUUAGUGAGUCAUAUAUUGAUUUGCGGUACUGCAUUGUAAAAGCCCGAAGACACCAAAGUAGGGCAGGAUUUAAACUAAAGCUAUUGUUGGAAGGGGAGAAAUUAAAUGAAACCCAUACUUUUAAAUGCGCAGUAGACAAUAUUCACUGUAUGGCAUGUCAGUAAUUCACUGUGCAGGAGAAACACAAAUUAAGUUGAAAUGUGGAUAAAACAUUUUUCAGGUUGCAGAACUACAGAGUUAAUCCUUUGCUGGAGGCUGAGGCUGGGAAGGGGGAAAGACACAUUUGUCAGGAUAUAGAAAUCUAUUGCUCUGUCAGGUCAAGAUGUGGGACAGAAAUUUCUCUUCGGAGAGGAAUUAGACCAAGUGAAGAAGACCUAAAGAAAUAGUUUCAGAAAAUAGGAUUAAUAAUUAAAAUGAUAUGCAGUUUUAUACUUCUGGGCAUGAUCUGGUAAAAUUACUGAGAUUCAGGACGCAAGUGUGGGGAAGUAGCAUGGAUUAAGACGACCCUAGGCUUCUAACUAAAGUUAUACAAGGAAAAAGUCAUAGCUAAAUUGUAGCUUGGAAAUGUUUAUAUAAAAUUAUUUCUCUGGAUCUUUAUCCAUACAGGAGGAUCUGGUAAGAUGUGCUGCAAAUGCAAUGCUACACCGGGCAUGCCUUUUUGGAAAUGGCUCCAGAAUCCCUAUGGGCUUUCACUAAGCACAGAUGGAAGAAGCGAUAUACAGUAGAGUCUCAUCCAACAUAAACGGGCCGGCAGAACGUUGGAUAAGCGAAAAUGUUGGAUAAUAUGGAGGGAUGAAGGAAAAGCCUAUUAAAUGGCAAAUUACGUUAUGAUUAUGCAAAUUAAGCACCAAAACAUCAUGUCUUACAACAAAUCAACAGAAAAAGCAGUUCAAUACACGGUAAUGUUAUGUUAAUUACUGUAUUUACAAAUUUAUCACUGAAACAUUGCAGUGUAUUGAAAACAUUGACUACAAAAACAUUGACUACUAACAAAUUGACUGAAAAUAAAGAUAGAAUUCUAUAAAAUGAACUUAUAGUAACAACAUUGUUAGAAGUAAAAUCCCUAAAAAGUUCAGUCCUUGCUGCCUAGAGAAACAGCUGUGGAUCUGGGCAGGAGGCAGACUGUGUUGGAUAAUCCAGAACGUUGGAUAAGUGAAGGUUGGAUAAGUGAAACUCUACUGUAAUACGGCCCUAAAUUGGCAAGCAAGAACAUGGACCUCAAGGUCCCAGUUAAAGUGUCAGCAGACCCCAUCAUCCCAGUGACAAUGGAAGCCAGCCUCGCUGCUAUAUUUUACUGCACCCAAAACAUAGGUGUGUAGUCUCUGUCCUUCAGCAUGCAUUCUACGAAUGAAGAACAGGGCCUAAUAUUGCACUUCUAUACACACUAUUGAGGACCUUACUGAGUUUAGUAGCACUUAUUGCUGAAAAGGCACAUAGGAUGGUAGAGUAUAGUUAUUAUUUGUAUAGCAGUAAUGAUAAAUUCAUAUUAAGGAGCCAAAAAUAUAAGAAACCUAAAAAUAAAAGAGCCUUAAAAAGACUAUAAUAAUAAGUUAUUUGGUUUUUCAGACUAGGGGUGCAUCUACACUGUAGAAUGAAUGCAGUUUGACACCACUUUAACUGCCAUGGUUUAAAGAUUAUGGAUUAUGGAAUUACAUAAUAGUCUUUAGACUUUGGCAGCUCUCUGCCAAAGAGAGCUGGUGCCUCACCAAACUACAAAUCCCAGGAUUCCAUACAUGAGCACAAUAAAAUUGCAGAAUGAGGUUUAAAUAAAUACUACAUCAACAAAACUACUGUGAAAUAAGGAAAAAAUAUAAUUUAGUCAUAAACAGCAUACAGCAGAUUUCUUGAUUACUGGCUGUUUUCUGGCCCAAGUGUGGAUUAAUUUAAACUAGUUUUCAGAUGGUCAUUUCUAAGAAAACAAAUGAUGGAUUUCAGAGCUAUUUUAGACCAUUUGCCCCCAAUUCCACUCUCCUAUAAUCCCUACUGCAUGGAUUUGGAUUAUUGCAUAGCACCAGAGGCACUCUUCACACACUUCAGAAUAUUCUGAUUUUAUUCUCUUGGAUAUUUAAUUUAUACCCCAGAUUUCUACUGGUAUGUAAUUGAUUAUGAUGAUUGCUAUCUUCCUUUUUUAAACUAUUCAAGGCCUGAGUUCAAAAUGGCAUUUCCCCCACCUGAUAAGGACAAAGAUGAAGAAACACUUGUGAAGAAGAACAGGAAUUGUCAGGGGGAAUGACUAGGAUUUUCAAAACAAACAUUUGUUUCUCAUUUCCAUGAAAGUUCUCAGGGCCUCUGCCUCAUCACACCAGAGCAUGGAUCCACUUUAAAUCCGGUUUAUGGGAGUUGAAGUCUGGAAACACCUGGAGGGCCCAAGUUUGCCCAUUCCUAGUCUAUACCAUAGAAUUAUUGUAGUUUGGCACCAAACUACAUUAAGCUAGGGCUCAAUGCUAUGGAAUCCUGGGGCAAUCCAAUUAGUUUGCUGAGGGAUCAGCGCUCUUUAGCAGAGAAGGCUCAAGCCCUUGUAAAGCUACAACUUCCAUGAUUCCAUAACAUUUGAGCCAGGGAAGUCGAAGUGGUGGUUAUUUCAGGGAACAAUAAUAUAGUAAUAACUUUAUUUUUGUAUCCCACCUCCAUCUCUCCAAGGGGACUUGGAGAGGCUUACAUGGGGAUGAGCCCGGGCAACAUCAUAGAAUAUCAUCACAUUAAAAUACAUACACAGUAUCAUAAAACAGAAUAAAACAACAACAAUUAUAAACAACAUAGCAGUUGUGAUAGAAUGAAACCAAUAAUCGCUGAGCCUGUAAUAAAGUCCAUUUCUAGGCAUGGAUGGGUGGGCCGGCACAACUCACUUCUGAAAAUAGGGCUAAUGGAUAAAGUGCAUAAGUCUGAUGAGUAGUGGUGAGCAACGUAAGAUGGGGAAUAAUAUUAUUGGGUAGAGAACAACAGUAAAGUGCAAGGACAGGUUAUUUAGGGGGUUGUCUAGUCCAGGGGUCCUCAAAUUUUUUAAGUGGAGGGCCAGUUCAUGGUCCCUCAGACUGUUGCAAGCACAACUGGUGGGGAUGAGAGACAGGGCCUACUCAGUGGUGGCUCCUUGGCUGCGGAACUCCCUCCCCAGCAACAUCCGGCAGGCUCCAUCCCUUCUGGGCUUUAGAAAGAAGCUAAAGACCUGGUUAUGCACACAAGCGUUCAACGAAUAAAUUUCACAGCUUCGACACGGCCUGGUUCACAGAUUAUGUGCAAGGUUUUUGGACGAAUGGAUUUAUGCACUUUAUAUGUCUUAAGUUUUGUUGAUUGUUUCGUGUGUUUUAAUGCCUAAUUGCUUUUAUUGCUUGAUGUUUUUAUUCUAUUGUUGCUUUAUUAGCAAUUAAUCUUGCCAGAUCUGAAAGCUCCCUUGAGUCCCCUUGGUUGAGAAGGGCGGGAUAGAAAUGACGUAAAUAAUAAUAAUAAUAAUAAUAAUAAUAAUAAUAAUAAUAAUAAUAAUAAUAAUAGCAUAUCUAUCUUGUUUGCUGUGUCAUAAUAAAAUAAUAAAAAAUAAUAAUGAGUAAACCAGGUUUUUUUAAAAACCUGAAAAAAUGGGGAGGGGAUCGAACCCUUAACCCCCCCCCCCCCUUGACUACAGCCCUGUCUACACUGUAGAAUUAAUCCAGUUGGACUGCUCUGGCUCAGUGCUAUUAGAAUCCAGGGAGAGGAGGCUUAACAAGGCGCUUGGCCAUCUCUGUCCAAAAGAGUGACCCAACACCAGCGCUCAGUAUCCCAUAACACUGUGCCUUGCUUUGAAUUGUUGAAGGUUUUCAUGGCCAGAAUCACAGAGUUGUGUUUUCCGGACUGUAUGGCCAUGUUCCAGAAAUAUUUUCUCCUAACGUUUUGCCCACAUCUAUGGCAGGCAUCCCCAGAGGUUGUGAGAUAUAUGGAGAAACUAAGCAAGGAAUGUUUAUAUAUCUGUGGAAGUUUCAGGGUGGGGAAAAGAGCUCUUGUCUGUUGGAGGCCAGUGUGAAUGUUGUAAUUAAUCACAUUGAUUAGCAUUAAAUGGCCUUCCAAGCUUCAAA